rnacentral:lncRNA from 1 species
UUUUUUCUAGCAACAAGCAGCCGCACCUCCCCAAAAAUGGAAAACUCUCCAUCGUCUCUCUUCUCUCAAAUGAGAAACAACAGCCACUCUCUCAUCUCUCUUGAUCGGGCCAAUCAGCCGUUGCUCCAGCAACUCUCCUACAAUCAGCCGCCCACCCCUCUCUAAAGUUCCCUAUGAUCCUCUUUUUCACUUGAGAGAACAACCAACUAGCCUCUUCUCCCUCACUCUUUCAGAUUCUCCAUCCCAUCUUCACCCUCUUGCCUCCAGACCUACCCACCUGCCCCAAACCCGACAAAAAAUUGGCGAUCCCCUAUGAAUUUCUUAUCUCCCUCACUUGAGCAAAAAACACGCACACAUAGAGGAAGAAGGGAGGAACGGACAUAGGGGAAUUCUGAAAAAAGAAAAAUAAAGACAGGGGGAUUAGAAAAUGGACGGGGAGCACAGCGGACAGCGAGGAAACGGUGGGAAAAACGGAAACAGAGAAACAGAGGAUGACACUUUAAAAGAAAUUAGGAUAGAAAAAUCAAGGGGAAUCUGGGGUUUUUCGACGGAAAUUAAGAGAAUAGAAGUGAGUGUUGAGUAAUUCUUCUGCAAAUUUCCACCUUUCCUUUGAAGCUCGAAAUACUCAAAAAAAAAAGAUAUUUCUGUUUCUUCACUUUUCAAUUCUAAAUUUUGUUCAAGGAUGGACUUUGAUUAGAAUUUGUGUCUGAAUUCGUGUUUGGUUCGAGUUUUUCAGUGCCGAUUCGAGAUUCCGUCUGGGUUCGUGUUUGAGAGUUCUGUAGAUUUGAGUUCCAAUCGUAACUAUGUUCGAUUCCAGUCCGGGUAACUAUUAGACGUCUUCAUCAAUUGAAAAUUCUAGUUUUAAGGUUCAACUCUUUCUCUCUUACUUUCAUCUAAUGGUGUUGAUUUUUCAUUUUAGGACAUUUAGAUACUAGAAAUGAAUUUUGAAGUUGGUUUUCAGUCUUGAUUAUUCUGUACUGUUGAGUUUCCUCCAUUCUUUUUGACUUAAUGCAUGAAUCCAUAUCUUUGUUGCGUUUUUGCGCUUGAGAAAAUGCAUAGGCUUAAUGUCAAUUAAUAUUAAACUAUUCAAGUAACGUGCUAAAUUUAUCUACGUUUAUCACUGCCUGCGUACUUCAUUGAAUGAACGUGGGUCACGGGAGUAGGAAGAGGUUAAAUCCCA